UAAAAAGUAAGCUAAAUUUAAGCUUUUGGGUUCAUACCUCAAUAAUAGAAUAUUUCUCUUUUUAA
rnacentral:tRNA from 1 species